AGGGCACUGUUCUGCUUUACGCAUUUUGAGUCUAGUAGGUCACAGUAAUGGAUUGUGUUAAAUUUGAAUUCAAUGUAUAUCAUUUCACUAUUGAAGAUAGUAUAUUGUUAUACUAUUCUUAAGUUCAAUUUAUGUUAUAUUAUUUGCCCAAAUAGUUGUUUCAAAUUAGUGUUUAUUCCAAAAUAAAUAAAUUUAUAUAUAUUCAUUGUAUAAGAAUAACUAUUCAGAGCGAAGACGUUUAGUCAGUUUAAAUAAUCAUAAUUAUAUUUUGAAAUUUUUAUAACUAAAAUCGUUAUUCUCUGUUUAAAAUAUAUCUAAUUUAGUUUAUAUUUGAGCUUAAAAUAUCUAUUAAAAAGACUGUUUAUAUAAUAUAAAUAAUUAUUUUUUAAAUUUUUGUUUUCACACUAAAAUAGGUACUUAUGAGAAAUCUUGUUUUAAAUUUUCAAUUCUUAAACUAUGCUUUUAAAAUGCUUCUGAAGCAAAACCAUGGCUGUUUUUUUAUUAGAAAUCAUUGAUUUACAAUUUGAAGAAAAAUGUUCAUGAAUUUUCAACUAAACUGUUAUUUUCUUUUUUGAAUCGACUAAAAACAAUUGUAAUUACAUAAACAAGACUAAAUGAUUUAAACCCUAGUUAUUUUAUAUUAUAAUCAAAAUUAUUUAAAUUCAUUAUUAUCGUUUAUUUGUUUAAGUUUUGUUUCCAGCUGCUAAUCUCUUACAGUUGAAUCAUGUAAAAUGUGUAUCUGUUGACUUUUUACAAAAACAUCUGAAUCCUUCAAAUUGUUUUGGUAUUAAAGGAUUUGCUGACUUUUAUAACUGCAUGGAAUUGUCUUCAAGUUCUGAAGAAUACAUAUAAACAAAUUUUUUAAAACUGGUUGAUGCUGGUGAAUUCCUAUCUUUGUCUUCUGAAGAAAUGAUAAAUCUAAUCUCUCGUGAUGACAUUAACGGUCUAUUUGAAGAAAAAUGCAGAGGUUUUCGACAGGAGUAUUCAAGAAUGGCGAUUAAUAUCUAAUAUGUCUACUGAGAGAGGGGACCCUGGUUUGAAUGCUAUAAUCCCAGCCUUGACACGUGGACACCAGUCACACAAAUGUCUACAAAACGCCGUGCCCCUGUUAUAGGAGUCUUAGACGGUGUAAUGUAUGCUAUUGGUGGUGCCUGUCAGGAACUCGGAAGUUCAGUGUAUCUUAAAAGUGUUGAGACCUAUUCACCAAUUACUAAAGUUUUGUCUCCUAUCAAAGAUAUGCACUUGUCCAGAUUCAAUUCAAGUGUUGUGACAUUUAAGGGUUUGUUCUAUGUUAUUGGCGGAUCUGAUGAAUUUU